ACUCACCAACUAGUCAUGCGCCUCGGAUGCCGCCGGCCACGGGGCUCCCGGAGGGGGGUCCGACACCGCCCGGUGCCCGGGAUCCCCAAUCUGGCCGGUGGAUGAGGCCCCAUCCCAUGCACCCGAGUGCGGGGGACGGGGGGGUUAAUAUUAAUUCAGGAUCCCAUCCCCACCCGAGGCAGGACACCCAGUGCACGCCCCAACUCCGGGACGCGGGCUCUGACCCUGGAACUUCCGAGAUUCCCGCGACGCCCCCUGUCUCUGGGUCCAGAACUUCGGGGGACACCUCUUCUGCCUCCUCCAACCCCAGGUCUGGGUGCUCCUCUAGGGCUGGCCCAUCCAUCCUGAAGCCCCAGUCUGACCCAGCACAAGAGCGACUGUUCAUCCCACAGGGGAAACUGAGGCACAGACUCGGUUUCCCUGGCUGCUUCUAACUUCACGAGGCAUCUGCACAAGGGAAGGAUUUGGCUCUGUUCUCAGGCCGGAAGCCACGAAAUGCUUGAACAUUGUGGGGAGCAAAGAAAAUACCGUCUGUUCUGUGCAAAAAAUGACUUUUCCUUAUUACCAACAAAAUAAUGGAAAAAAUAAAAAAGUAUCUGGGAAAGGUGCUGGCAUGGCCAAGGCUUCUGGAAGCUGCUUAGAGUUUGCCAAGUGCACAAGUGGGGCCCUGUGGCUAUUUUACAGGGGCGGCUGGGCGAGGGGCCCAGGCAGACUUUGCCCUUUGUGUGGGCAGAAAGCAACAGUGAAAGAGACAGUGAAGGGUUGAGUUGCUUUCCUGAACACCCUCUCCGGUCUCUGGGAGGGGCUGGGACAGGGCUGGCCUUGAGCAGCCCCAACCUGAAGCUGGACUAGCCAAGUCUACACUGAGGCACUGGCUUCCUCAGUGUGGGCCUCAGUUUUCUCACCUGGAAAAUGGGCCGAUGCUUGCAGGGCUUCUAGUAGAGGGAGAAACAUGAAGGAUUUAGUCAAUAUCAGCAGCUGUCCUCUGGGGUGCCUGCCAUUAGGUUCGUGGGCAAAGGCCCUGCCACUCUUUGCUGCAGCUGGGAAAACAGAGUCUGUGUCUCAGUUUCCCUGCUGGGAUGAAUAGUCACUCUUAUGCUGGGUCAGACUGAGGCUUCAGGAUGGAUGGGCCAGCCCUAGAGGAGCACCUAGACCUGGUCAUAUAAUAAACAGGUAACAUAA
rnacentral:lncRNA from 1 species